CCGGGGCUCGGGAUGGUCGGAGCCGCUUCCGCCCAGGAAAAGGAGGCAGUGCCACCAUCUUUUCGGUCCGGAAGGCAUUCUUCUGUGAACUAUGUCGAUCGAUGAAGUAGAUCUUGUUAUUACGUUUAUUUUAAGGAUGAGGAAAAUGAGACAGAAGAUGGCGCACACCUGUAAUCCCAGCACUUGGGAGACUGAGG